GAUGAACGCUGGCGGCGUGCCUAAUACAUGCAAGUCGAGCGAACGGACGAGAAGCUUGCUUCUCUGAUGUUAGCGGCGGACGGGUGAGUAACACGUGGAUAACCUACCUAUAAGACUGGGAUAACUUCGGGAAACCGGAGCUAAUACCGGAUAAUAUUUUGAACCGCAUGGUUCAAAAGUGAAAGACGGUCUUGCUGUCACUUAUAGAUGGAUCCGCGCUGCAUUAGCUAGUUGGUAAGGUAACGGCUUACCAAGGCAACGAUGCAUAGCCGACCUGAGAGGGUGAUCGGCCACACUGGAACUGAGACACGGUCCAGACUCCUACGGGAGGCAGCAGUAGGGAAGCUUCGGCAAUGGGCGAAAGCCUGACGGAGCAACGCCGCGUGAGUGAUGAAGGUCUUCGGAUCGUAAAACUCUGUUAUUAGGGAAGAACAUAUGUGUAAGUAACUGUGCACAUCUUGACGGUACCUAAUCAGAAAGCCACGGCUAACUACGUG
rnacentral:rRNA from 1 species